UACGGAGGGUGCAAGCGUUGUCCGGAAUCACUGGGCGUAAAGGGCGCGUAGGCGGCCUGGUAAGUAGGGUGUGAAAUCCUGCGGCUUAACCGCAGGGCUGCCUUCUAAACUGUCAGGCUUGAGCACGGUAGAGGCAGAUGGAAUUCCCGGUGUAGCGGUGGAAUGCGUAGAGAUCGGGAAGAACAUCAGUGGCGAAGGCGGUCUGCUGGGCCGUUGCUGACGCUGAGGCGCGCCAGCGUGGGGAGCAAACAGG
rnacentral:rRNA from 1 species